CUCGGCGCCCCUCGGGACGGCCUCCACCUGCGUACACGCCUCCACCUCCCUCGGCGAGACCACUACCACCUCCUCCUUCGCCGAGACCACCUCCAGGACCACCUCCUGUUACCCGACCUCCGCCACCUCCUCCCCCACGGAGACCUCCUCCUGUGGCAAGACCACCACCUCCUGGUCCUCCGUAUCAACCUCCACCGCCUGUUCCUCGACCACCG